UACAGAGGUCUCAAGCGUUUGUUCGGAUUCAUUGGGCGUAAAGGGUGUGUAGGUGGCGCGCUAAGUCGGGUGUGAAAUUUCGGAGCUUAACUCCGAAACUGCAUUCGAUACUGGCGUGCUUGAGGACUGGAGAGGAGACUGGAAUUCAUGGUGUAGCAGUGAAAUGCGUAGAGAUCAUGAGGAAGACCAGUGGCGAAGGCGGCCCUCUGGCUCGACCCUGACGCUGAGAGGCGAAAGCGUGGGGAGCGAACGGG
rnacentral:rRNA from 1 species